CGUGUAGGCGGGAUUGCAAGUCAGAUGUGAAAACUGGGGGCUCAACCUCCAGCCUGCAUUUGAAACUGUAGUUCUUGAGUGCUGGAGAGGCAAUCGGAAUUCCGUGUGUAGCGGUGAAAUGCGUAGAUAUACGGAGGAACACCAGUGGCGAAGGCGGAUUGCUGGACAGUAACUGACGCUGAGGCGCGAAAGCGUGGAGCAAACA
rnacentral:rRNA from 1 species